GAUGAACGCUAGCGGCAGGCUUAACACAUGCAAGUCGAGGGGCAGCAUAAUGGAUAGCAAUAUCUAUGGUGGCGACCGGCGCACGGGUGCGUAACGCGUAUGCAACCUACCUUUAACAGGGGGAUAACACUGAGAAAUUGGUACUAAUACCCCAUAAUAUCAUAGAAGGCAUCUUUUAUGGUUGAAAAUUCCGAUGGUUAGAGAUGGGCAUGCGUUGUAUUAGCUAGUUGGUGGGGUAACGGCUCACCAAGGCGACGAUACAUAGGGGGGCUGAGAGGUUAACCCCCCACACUGGUACUGAGACACGGACCAGACUCCUACGGGAGGCAGCAGUGAGGAAUAUUGGUCAAUGGACGCAAGUCUGAACCAGCCAUGCCGCGUGCAGGAUGACGGCUCUAUGAGUGGUAAACUGCUUUUGUACGAGGGUAAACGCAGAUACGUGUAUCUGUCUGAAAGUAUCGUACGAAUAAGGAUCGGCUAACUCCGUG
rnacentral:rRNA from 1 species